rnacentral:rRNA from 1 species
UGGGGAAUCUUGGACAAUGGGCGCAAGCCUGAUCCAGCCAUGCCGCGUGGAUGGUGAAGGCCUUAGGGUUGUAAAAUCCUUUCGUUGGGGACGAUAAUGACGGUACCCAAAGAAGAAGCUCCGGCUAACUUCGUGCCAGCAGCCGCGGUAAUACGAAGGGGGCUAGCGUUGUUCGGAUUUACUGGGCGUAAAGCGCGUGUAGGCGGAUUUGUAAGUUGGGGGUGAAAUCCCGAGGCUCAACCUCGGAACUGCCUCCAAAACUACAAGUCUGGACCUAAGUAGAGGCAAGUGGAAUUGCGAGUGUAGAGGUGAAAUUCGUAGAUAUUCGCAGGAACACCAGUGGCGAAGGCGACUUGCUGGACUUAUGGUGACGCUGAGACGCGAAAGCGUGGGGAGCAAACAGGAUUAGAUACCCAAGUAGUCCCUGAGCGGGCUGGCAAGGCGCAU